GACGAACGCUGGCGGCGUGCCUAAUACAUGCAAGUAGAACGCUGAAGAGAGGAGCUUGCUCUUCUUGGAUGAGUUGCGAACGGGUGAGUAACGCGUAGGUAACCUGCCUGGUAGCGGGGGAUAACUAUUGGAAACGAUAGCUAAUACCGCAUAAAAUUGAUUAUUGCAUGAUGCUUAAUUGAAAGAUGCAACUGCAUCACUACCAGAUGGACCUGCGUUGUAUUAGCUAGUUGGUGAGGUAACGGCUCACCAAGGCGACGAUACAUAGCCGACCUGAGAGGGUGAUCGGCCAAACUGGGACUGAGACACGGCCCAGACUCCUACGGGAGGCAGCCGUAGGGAAUCUUCGGCAAUGGGGGGAACCCUGACCGAGCAACGCCGCGUGAGUGAAGAAGGUUUUCGGAUCGUAAAGCUCUGUUGUAAGAGAAGAACGGGUGUGAGAGUGGAAAGUUCACACUGUGACGGUACCUGACCAGAAAGGGACGGCUAACUACGUG
rnacentral:rRNA from 1 species